CGAUAUUAAGUAACAAAAACAUAUGUCUUCAAGCAUGCCCUAACACUAAUCUUACUUAGAGGUGUGGCCCUUUGAGGUCCAAUAGCUUUAGAUUCAUGUCCCAGUAGCCUUGCAUUACCUAAAAAUUCCACCCACUCCCAUCGCAUGUGCACGCAUGUGUCUUGGUGUUGUUACAUACACAAAAGUUGAAAUGUAGUGAGUAUGAAGUUGCAAGUGUAAUAGUGUAUAGCUAAACUAGGUUGUUCUAGUUGGAUUUUGGAUGAAAAGUCUGGCAUGUACAAUGCAGAUAGUAACUCUUGCAGUAGAUCUAACCACUUGCCCCUUACC